rnacentral:rRNA from 1 species
CCUACGGGAGGCAGCAGUAAGGAAUAUUGGUCAAUGGACGAAAGUCUGAACCAGCCAUGCCGCGUGAAGGAUGAAGGCCCUCUGGGUUGUAAACUUCUUUUAUCUGGGACGAAAAAAGCUCAUUCUUGAGCACUUGACGGUACCAGAGGAAUAAGCACCGGCUAACUCCGUGCCAGCAGCCGCGGUAAUACGGAGGGUGCAAGCGUUAUCCGGAUUCACUGGGUUUAAAGGGUGCGUAGGUGGGUCUGUAAGUCAGUGGUGAAAUCUCCGAGCUUAACUCGGAAACUGCCAUUGAUACUAUAGGUCUUGAAUCAUCUGGAGGUAAGCGGAAUAUGUCAUGUAGCGGUGAAAUGCUUAGAUAUGACAUAGAACACCAAUUGCGAAGGCAGCUUACUACGGGUGUAUUGACACUGAGGCACGAAAGCGUGGGGAUCAAACAGGAUUAGAUACCCUGGUAGUCCACGCCCUAAACGAUGGAUACUCGACAUCAGCGAUACACUGUUGGUGUCUGAGCGAAAGCAUUAAGUAUCCCACCUGGGAAGUACGACCGCAAGGUUGAAACUCAAAAGAUUAGUACGGCGNGAGAGAGACGACGGACGACGACGAGGAGGAGGAG